CAGUCGCCACGGGAACACGGAGGGUGCAAGCGUUAAUCGGAAUUACUGGGCGUAAAGCGCACGCAGGCGGUUUGUUAAGUCAGAUGUGAAAUCCCCGAGCUUAACUUGGGAACUGCAUUUGAAACUGGCAAGCUAGAGUCUUGUAGAGGGGGGUAGAAUUCCAGGUGUAGCGGUGAAAUGCGUAGAGAUCUGGAGGAAUACCGGUGGCGAAGGCGGCCCCCUGGACAAAGACUGACGCUCAGGUGCGAAAGCGUGGGGAGCAAACAGGAUUAGAUACCCGAGUAGUCCCUGUCUCUUAUAC
rnacentral:rRNA from 1 species